rnacentral:rRNA from 1 species
AGUGAACGCUGGCGGUAGGCCUAACACAUGCAAGUCGAACGGCAGCACAGUAAGAGCUUGCUCUUACGGGUGGCGAGUGGCGGACGGGUGAGGAAUACAUCGGAAUCUACUUUUUCGUGGGGGAUAACGUAGGGAAACUUACGCUAAUACCGCAUACUACCUACGGGUGAAAGCAGGGGUUCUUCGCACCUUGCGCGAUUGAAUGAGCCGAUGUCGGAUUAGCUAGUUGGCGGGGUAAAGGCCCACCAAGGCGACGAUCCGUAGCUGGUCUGAGAGGAUGAUCAGCCACACUGGAACUGAGACACGGUCCAGACUCCUACGGGAGGCAGCAGUGGGGAAUAUUGGACAAUGGGCGCAAGCCUGAUCCAGCAAUACCGCGUGGGUGAAGAAGGCCUUCGGGUUGUAAAGCCCUUUUGUUGGGAAAGAAAAGCAGCAGGUUAAUACCCCGCUGUUCUGACGGUACCCAAAGAAUAAGCACCGGCUAACUUCGUG